rnacentral:rRNA from 1 species
GACGAACGCUGGCGGCGUGCCUAAUACAUGCAAGUAGAACGCUGAAGAGAGGAGCUUGCUCUUCUUGGAUGAGUUGCGAACGGGUGAGUAACGCGUAGGUAACCUGCCUUGUAGCGGGGGAUAACUAUUGGAAACGAUAGCUAAUACCGCAUAACAAUGGAUGACACAUGUCAUUUAUUUGAAAGGGGCAAUUGCUCCACUACAAGAUGGACCUGCGUUGUAUUAGCUAGUAGGUGAGGUAACGGCUCACCUAGGCGACGAUACAUAGCCGACCUGAGAGGGUGAUCGGCCACACUGGGACUGAGACACGGCCCAGACUCCUACGGGAGGCAGCAGUAGGGAAUCUUCGGCAAUGGGGGCAACCCUGACCGAGCAACGCCGCGUGAGUGAAGAAGGUUUUCGGAUCGUAAAGCUCUGUUGUAAGUCAAGAACGAGUGUGAGAGUGGAAAAUUCACACUGUGACGGUAGCUUACCAGAAAGGGACGGCUAACUACGUGCCAGCAGCCGCGGUAAUACGUAGGUCCCGAGCGUUGUCCGGAUUUAUUGGGCGUAAAGCGAGCGCAGGCGGUUUGAUAAGUCUGAAGUUAAAGGCUGUGGCUCAACCAUAGUUCGCUUUGGAAACUGUCAAACUUGAGUGCAGAAGGGGAGAGUGGAAUUCCAUGUGUAGCGGUGAAAUGCGUAGAUAUAUGGAGGAACACCGGUGGCGAAAGCGGCUCUCUGGUCUGUAACUGACGCUGAGGCUCGAAAGCGUGGGGAGCGAACAGGAUUAGAUACCCUGGUAGUCCACGCCGUAAACGAUGAGUGCUAGGUGUUGGAUCCUUUCCGGGAUUCAGUGCCGCAGCUAACGCAUUAAGCACUCCGCCUGGGGAGUACGACCGCAAGGUUGAAACUCAAAGGAAUUGACGGGGGCCCGCACAAGCGGUGGAGCAUGUGGUUUAAUUCGAAGCAACGCGAAGAACCUUACCAGGUCUUGACAUCCCGAUGCUAUUUCUAGAGAUAGAAAGUUACUUCGGUACAUCGGUGACAGGUGGUGCAUGGUUGUCGUCAGCUCGUGUCGUGAGAUGUUGGGUUAAGUCCCGCAACGGGCGCAACCCCUAUUGUUAGUUGCCAUCAUUCAGUUGGGCACUCUAGCGAGACUGCCGGUAAUAAACCGGAGGAAGGUGGGGAUGACGUCAAAUCAUCAUGCCCCUUAUGACCUGGGCUACACACGUGCUACAAUGGUUGGUACAACGAGUUGCGAGUCGGUGACGGCAAGCUAAUCUCUUAAAGCCAAUCUCAGUUCGGAUUGUAGGCUGCAACUCGCCUACAUGAAGUCGGAAUCGCUAGUAAUCGCGGAUCAGCACGCCGCGGUGAAUACGUUCCCGGGCCU